CCAGAAAUGACAGAAAAUAUUUAGAUAUCUCCACCGAACAGAGAGAGCUAAGUGAGACAGACAGAGGGCUGGUACACGGUAGGGAGUGAAGAUGCUGGUUGAGAUCUGCACCGUGGCUAUCUGCUGGGUCAUAACAGCAAGCUGUAGUCAGUGCAUAGAGCCUCGUGAGACAGGUACAAACUUCUCCAUCACAGUGACCCAAGACGUUACAGGAGAGGCUGGACGGUGCAUUCCUAUAUCAUGUAAAUUCACAUACCCAGGCAACGUUACUGAAUACGUACGAAGAGUCUGGUUCAAAGGAGAUCCACUUACACCUGUAUUUGAAAAAGAUGCAGAGGUGUGCGGUGUUGUUUGGCAGUUCCUGAGAGGUCCUGAAAGGUCUUGCAGCUUUUUCCUCGAAGACCAACAAGAAGGAGAACACGAGUAUAGAUUCAAGUUAACAUGGGGAGAUGAUCAAAUGUAUGUUUUUCCUGAGAGGGUACAAGUCUCAGUGUCUGCUCUAACCCAGAAGACGCCCACUGUGGAGACACCCCCUCUCACAGAGGGAGAGAGGGCCACACUGACCUGCAAAGUAUAUUCACUCAAACGAAAUGACCUCUGCCCGCAAAGACUAGAAGAAGAUUUUGUUGGAAUAGUCUGGAGAGGGACAGAGAACUUA